UUUGAGUGACAUUCUAGGGCUGCUCUGUCUGGAGUCUCCACAUGGGCAGAGAGACAUAGAUUAUUUAGCAGAACAAAAAAAGGAGAAGAUCAAAGCAAUCAACUCUCAUUUUUGAACUCUUAGAAUUUGACACAUACUUUCUAGCAAAAUGUCCAGUAGAAACUAUUCAUACUGCACAGCUCCUGUCCUGGAGACUAUAAUUCUGCUACAUAAACACAAGAGGCAUAAACCGUCCUUGAGGACAAGACACAACACUGACAAGAACAACUGGAUUUAAAACCACAAACCUUCAGUGAAGUUUCUACAGGCCCAACCAUUUCUGCCUUAUCGUGUGAAGAUAAGGAAUAUUUGUCUAUCAGCGGGACUAGUGACUUACUUAAUUACCUAUAGGUGGGUUUCUAAACUGUCGAACGUCAGGGGGCUCUGGUAGAUUUUACCUGUCCUCAAACCUCACCUCCUGGUACAAAAGUCUUCCAGGUGUUGGAGAUACUCACAUAAAUGAAACAUGGUGGCUACAUUUUCUUUAGAAAAUUUCCUACACAUGGGGAGGAGACAGCUUUUGCAAGUAAAUAUCUGUUGUACCACUUGAGAUAAGGUAGGUGCCUCUUCGCAAGGCUCGCUGCAUUUCUUUUGCCCCUCCUUUUUCCCAUUUAGUAACCUUCCUUCCUAAAUCUCCUCCAUUGCACCCCCCCAACCCCCGUGGCCCCAGCCACGGCCCUCGUCUCAGCCCCAAGCAGCCCAACUUUCUUCCGUGUCUUUAGAUAUCUAUAAGCACUGUAUUUCCUACAAGUACGACUUAGGAAUAAAAAAAAGUUUUUGGUGGGGAGAGGAAGCUAGCUACUGGUAUUGUUUUUGUUAAAAUAAGCAGGUAUUACUUUUGUCCUUAACAAUGGGGGUCUUUGUGGAAAUUGAGAGGUUUCUGGAUUCUACUGUAGAAUGGAAUUUUAAAACAACUGGCCACGUAUCUCAAAAACAGGCCCACCUUGGUCAGACCACUGUGGUACCAUGAAGCAUUACUAUCAAGAUCUAUCCAUGAGAAACACUGGAUAGCACGAAAAGAGCCUUCGCGUGCAUUGUCUCAUUUAAUCUUCACACUCUGUGGUGGGAGAAUUCACUAUUCCUGUGACUCAGAUGAAGAAACUGAGACUCAGAAGUUAGGUGGCUCACUUAAGGUCACAAGACUAGCAAGUUGGGGUGUAAGGCUGAGGAAGCCAGUCUUCUCACUUCGCAAACCAAAACAGCAAUCCCCCAAGCGCGGAGAAUGGGUUUCCUAAGAUGGGAUCUCGGAUGAGCUGGUGGGAAUGUUGCUCCUUCAACUCAUCUAACAGCUGAACCUCUGUGUGCAGAGCUGUGUGUGAUGUAAAGGUGGGAGAAGGCCUGGGAACCCUUAAUCUAGUGCCACACUUACAAUGGCCAUACACACUAUGCGUGGAAUGAGUCGAAGGCCAUAGAGGAGGCUAAAAGAAAACUCAAGUGCCCUCUCUGUUGCAGGAAAGGAAGCUCUUCUCUGCUGGAGAGCAGAGAACAGGCUUUGGGGAGGAGGGGGCCUUGGCUCACCCUCAGAGCAUCCCUACCGGGUGAGCAGGAGGGGGCCCAGCAGAGGGCUGCAGAGAGACCAGGGGCUUGGCUGGCCGCGGCUUGGAGCACCCGUGUCGGAGAAGAGUGGGAGAGACAGCAUGGCAGCAUCCGGAGCCGCUCGCAGGGGGAGGGCUAACUCUCGGGGUAUUGUGCUCAUUGCUGGAAUCUAAAAUACAGCUUUAAAUUAUUAAGCGUCUUGGAAUGCCACAAACAUUUUAAAAACUGCCUGUCAGGAUCAGAAAGACACUUGAAGGAUCUUCAAACUGAGUGUCAGAAAUGAGAGAUGGGCCCGUGUGACCCAACUUCACUCCGCAUACUUAACCAUCCCUCGCCUCAUUCCCUACUCUCCGGGCGGCGGGGCGGCUGCGUGGAAGCAGAUCCCACAAACUUACAAAAUAAGAUCCCACGGUAUAUAGAUUUGUGCAUGCUGCCCACAUAUUAAAGGAAACACUCAUCAGGGCCUUCUUUUAAAAAUUGUGCUAUAAAGGUAUAAACCCUCCAUUUUUUUUUUUGGAAGCCUUUUUGGGAAGGACAUGAAGCACCCCCAGAACAGUCAGGGGACCAUAUUUUGUGCAACAGCAAUUCUUCUAAAUAUAGACCAUAGAGCAAUCACAAGAAGGAUGCAAGCGAUGUCCUUGGAUGCUCCGCAGAACAGGAGGAUGACAAAGCUGCUAAGAGGGUUUUGCAUUGAAAUCCUGCGCUCCCCGAUUUAGCAGAAGGCUUAUUUCGCCCUCUCACAUGAGUGGGCUGCCGGAGUGGCCCCAGAGCAGUUGCAUUUUGAAGCCAUUACUUUACCUUGUCCUAGUCCUGCCUUAACAGGUACAUAAAUUCCCUGGACUUGGGGAGUUUCAUUUUUAACCCAGCAGAAGUAAGUUUACUUAACCAAACGUGGGCUCUCUCUAACAUUUGCCAGAUAUCACCGGGCGAUUUUUUUUAAC
rnacentral:lncRNA from 10 species